AACAAACGUGAUAUGUUAUCUUACAUUAACGAUUAUAAAAUUAACAUGAUUAGUAUAAUAUUUCAUAGUGAGGGUAAAACAAGAACAAAAAAAAAUGUAACAAAAUUAUUAAUCGAGUGAACAAAGAGAUUAUGGAUAUCAUUAACAAAAAGUGGCGGUAUAGUGUAAAUAUUUAUGUGAAUAAUAAUAUGAAAGUUAAUCUACCUGUAACUGAUCAAUAUUUGAGGCCAUGGGUAACAAAGGGAUUAAAAAGGAGUCACAACAAUCGACGGAAUAAGCACUUAAGUUUUCGCCAGCCUCCUUCGCGUCCCGCCUGGCCCCGGAUGGAUGGAUGGAUGUGCCUUGUGUCCUUGGGUGCUUUGCCAGCAGAGGACUCAGCUCACCCAUUGUUGUGACCCUGCACCUGCUCCCGUCAGAGGCCUUGAUGACGAUGACGCCAUCCUGAGUCCAGACCGACCGCAUACCAAAAUGCUGACGCGCCUGCACGAAGAUAGCCUGCCUUUCCCUCGUCAGGAACUCUCGGAUGGCAAUCUUGGUCCCUUUCAGACGAGUUUUGGCCCGCCACACUGAAGAUUUAAUGUCCACACUGGCGAAUCGGACAAGAAUAGGCCGGUGGUGGUCAGCACUAGCCUGGCCCAGUCUGUGUGAGGCCCUUAUGGAUGUUGUGGUAUGCCCUGGACAAUCAACGCCUUGCGACGGCUCCUUGUCGCAAGCUCAUCUAUUUGUCUGGAGCAUUCAGACAUCUGACCUCGCAGGAGCUUCAGCACACCGAAGAUGAGUUCCCUAAAUGUACGGAACUCUUCUGCCACCUUGGCGAUGGUGUCCUUGCUGGGGCCGGCUGCCUGGAUCUGAGCCUGGAGUGCUUCCAUCUGCUUCGUGACCAGGUCCUGCAAGGGCGCGAACUUCUCCUCCAAGGAUUUCUGUGUUGACCGGACUUCAGCUAUUUCCGACAUUUUUCUUAAAAGUGCAGUGAUUUUGUGAUUUGAAUAAAUUUCGUUGAUGUGCUGGCAGGUGGUGUGCCAA